rnacentral:misc_RNA from 1 species
GAUGAAGAACGCAGCGAAAUGCGAUAAGUAAUGUGAAUUGCAGAAUUCAGUGAAUCAUCGAAUCUUUGAACGCACAUUGCGCCCCCUGGUAUUCCGGGGGGCAUGCCUGUUCGAGCGUCAUUUCACCACUCAAGCCUCGCUUGGUAUUGGGCAACGCGGUCCGCCGCGUGCCUCAAAUCGACCGGCUGGGUCUUCUGUCCCCUAAGCGUUGUGGAAACUAAUCGCUAAAGGGUGUUCGGGAGGCUACGCCGUAAAACAACCCCAUUUCUAAGGUUGACCUCGGAUCAGGUAGGGAUACCCGCUGAACUUAAGCAUAUCAAUAAGCGGAGGA